AUGCCACUGCCUGGGAGAUUGGAGGAAGAUCAUGGAGGGGGGCCAUGGCUGUUUCGGAGGGCGCCUGUUGUGCUGCAGGAGUAUGAUGGUUUCUCCGAUAUUAAUGGGUAUAGACUGAAUAAGAUCCUGCUAUGGGCCCGAGUCAAGGGCUUGCCGGAUGGCCUAACAAGAAGAAGGGAACUGGCGGAGAAGGUAGCUGCAAAGGUCGGGGACCCUCCGUAUACAGUGGUGGUUAAUGAGGGCAUGAUAAACCCGGCAAGUACACUACGCACCAGGGUUUUUGUUGAUGUCAAUGAGCCACUGGUUAGACAACCAAGGUUUGAACAAAAUCUCAAUGGAUUCCGGUACCAUGCUUCCCGACUGAUCGAGAGAGAUGCCAUUCUUAUCCCGGAGGAACGUCAAUACGAGUCGGUUUUAGAUCCACACUUGUGA
rnacentral:rRNA from 1 species